UACGUAGGCAGCAAGCGUUGUUCGGAAUUACUGGGCGUAAAGAGUGUGUAGGCGGUGCUCUAAGUUCGGUGUGAAAUCUCCUGGCUCAACUGGGAGGGUGCGCCGGAAACUGGGGUGCUGGAGCGCGGGAGAGGAAAGCGGAAUUCCGUGGUGUGAGCGGUGAAAUGCGUAGAAUAUCGGGAGGAACACCUGUGGGCGAAAGCGGCGCACUGGACCGACAACUGACGCUGAGGCGCGAAAGCUAGGGGAGCAAACAGGA
rnacentral:rRNA from 1 species